UGAACGCUGGCGGCGUGCCUAAUACAUGCAAGUCGAGCGACCAGAUGAGGAGCUUGCUCCUCUGCCGUUAGCGGCGGACGGGUGAGUAACACGUGGAUAACCUACCUAUAAGACUGGGAUAACUUCGGGAAACCGGAGCUAAUACCGGAUAAUAUAUUGAACCGCAUGGUUCAAUAGUGAAAGACGGUUUUGCUGUCACUUAUAGAUUGAUCCGCGCCGCAUUAGCUAGUUGGUAAGGUAACGGCUUACCAAGGCAACGAUGCGUAGCCGACCUGAGAGGGUGAUCGGCCACACUGGAACUGAGACACGGUCCAGACUCCUACGGGAGGCAGCAGUAGGGAAUCUUCCGCAAUGGGCGAAAGCCUGACGGAGCAACGCCGCGUGAGUGAUGAAGGUCUUCGGAUCGUAAAACUCUGUUAUUAGGGAAGAACAAAUGUGUAAGUAACUAUGCACGUCUUGACGGUACCUAAUCAGAAAGCCACGGCUAACUACGUG
rnacentral:rRNA from 1 species